CGGUCAAAUCACUGAAACGCCAGUUCUCGUUUGAACACCGAAGUUAAGCAGUGUCAAUCGCGGUCAGUACUUAGACGGGGAAACCGCUUGGGAACGCCGGGUACUGUAA